rnacentral:rRNA from 1 species
UACGGAGGGAGCUAGCGUUGUUCGGAAUUACUGGGCGUAAAGCGCGCGUAGGCGGCUUUGUAAGUUAGAGGUGAAAGCCCGGGGCUCAACCCCGGAAUUGCCUUUAGACUGCAUCGCUUGAAUCCGGGAGAGGUGAGUGGAAUUCCGAGUGUAGAGGUGAAAUUCGUAGAUAUUCGGAAGAACACCAGUGGCGAAGGCGGCUCACUGGACCGGCAUUGACGCUGAGGUGACGAAAGCGUGGGGAGCAAACAGG